UUGCACGCUGGCGGCAUGCCUUACACAUGCAAGUCGAACGGCAGCACGGGUGCUUGCACCUGGUGGCGAGUGGCGAACGGGUGAGUAAUACAUCGGAACAUGUCCUGUAGUGGGGGAUAGCCCGGCGAAAGCCGGAUUAAUACCGCAUACGAUCUACGGAUGAAAGCGGGGGACCUUCGGGCCUCGCGCUAUAGGGUUGGCCGAUGGCUGAUUAGCUAGUUGGUGGGGUAAAGGCCUACCAAGGCGACGAUCAGUAGCUGGUCUGAGAGGACGACCAGCCACACUGGGACUGAGACACGGCCCAGACUCCUACGGGAGGCAGCAGUGGGGAAUUUUGGACAAUGGGCGAAAGCCUGAUCCAGCAAUGCCGCGUGUGUGAAGAAGGCCUUCGGGUUGUAAAGCACUUUUGUCCGGAAAGAAAUCCUUGGCUCUAAUACAGUCGGGGGAUGACGGUACCGGAAGAAUAAGCACCGGCUAACUACGUG
rnacentral:rRNA from 1 species